rnacentral:lncRNA from 1 species
GAAACCUGUUCUCUACAGAUACUAAAACUAUUGCUGUCUUGAUUUCACCUUCUCAGCCUCCUGAACUGUGAGAUACACAUUCCUAUUAUCUAUGAAUUAUCAAGUAUUGGAUAUUUUGUCAUUGUAACUCCAAUGGAUAUGACAGUGAAGCUUCACUUUUAAAAAGCAAUCAUGAAAACCCUGGGAAAGAAAAUCUGGUUUUAAUAUUCUGACAAUGGCUGAAUUACCGUGAUACUGACUGAAGCUUUGAUCAUGCAAGUGAAAUAAGGGCAUCAAAGGAUUUGGAAGACAUCCCGUGGCCCACACAUUCGAGUCAACAUGUGUGUUAACACAGUGUGCAAGAGAAAGAAUGUUGUUGAUAUUUUCAUGGAUCCAUAAGGGACAUCUAACUGAAGAGGAGAGAAUUCUACCUAUAUUCAUUAUGUUUUCUCUGUGAAACACAUUGUAACAUUAAAAUUGAUAUUAAAAUCACUACAGUCUACAUUUUUG